rnacentral:lncRNA from 1 species
CUCAGUCCCUACACAGGAUCCACAAUACUAAAUCUGCAGAGGAGAACUUCUAGGUACCUAAAAUUAAAGGAGGAAAAUUAAAAAGAGGGGAUUUAGAACUUAUCAUCAGCUGCAGAUUUGGGGAAAACAGAGAAUUGGGUUGCAUGCAGUGAAAUUGACUGCAUGAUCGCAGCUCUAAGGUUAGGGAAGAGAGGAAGAACGCUUACCAGUGAAUAGGAUGGAGAAAUUUCUUGAUUGUAGAUGCAACUCUAGAAACUGGAAGUGUUUUAGGGAGUUCCUGGUUCACAAUUUAUGGAGAGAAUUGAGUUUAUGAUGAAGAAGGAUGCAAAGGAGAUAUAUAGGAGAACAAUGAGAAGAACAUGAAAACUGCAGAUAUUCAAAUGAACUUCAUUUCUGAAGUUUUAAUACAUUUGAGA